UACGGGGGGAGCAAGCGUUGUUCGGAUUUACUGGGCGUAAAGGGCGCGUAGGCGGUCGUGACAAGUCACUUGUGAAAUCUCCGGGCUUAACUCGGAACGGUCAAGUGAUACUGUCAAGCUAGAGUGCAGAAGGGGCAAUCGGAAUUCUUGGUGUAGCGGUGAAAUGCGUAGAUAUCGAGAGGAACACCUGCGGCGAAGGCGGGUUGCUGGGCUGACACGUGACGCUGAGGCGCGAAAGCUAGGGGAGCGAACGGG
rnacentral:rRNA from 1 species